rnacentral:rRNA from 1 species
CACGUAGGAGGCGAGCGUUGUCCGGAAUCAUUGGGCGUAAAGAGCGCGCAGGCGGCUUGGCAAGUCGGGUGUGAAAUCCCGGGGCUCAACCCCGUGACUGCAUUCGAUACUGUCAGGCUAGAGGUAGGUAGGGGAGAUCGGAAUUCCUGGUGUAGCGGUGAAAUGCGCAGAUAUCAGGAGGAACACCGGUGGCGAAGGCGGGUCUCUGGGCCGAUACUGACGCUGAGGAGCGAAAGCGUGGGGAGCGAACAGG